rnacentral:rRNA from 1 species
UGGGGAAUUUUGGACAAUGGGCGAAAGCCUGAUCCAGCAAUGCCGCGUGUGUGAAGAAGGCCUUCGGGUUGUAAAGCACUUUUGUCCGGAAAGAAAUCCUUGGCUCUAAUACAGUCGGGGGAUGACGGUACCGGAAGAAUAAGCACCGGCUAACUACGUGCCAGCAGCCGCGGUAAUACGUAGGGUGCAAGCGUUAAUCGGAACUACUGGGCGUAAAGCGUGCGCAGGCGGUUUGCUAAGACCGAUGUGAAAUCCCCGGGCUCAACCUGGGAACUGCAUUGGUGACUGGCAGGCUAGAGUAUGGCAGAGGGGGGUAGAAUUCCACGUGUAGCAGUGAAAUGCGUAGAGAUGUGGAGGAAUACCGAUGGCGAAGGCAGCCCCCUGGGCCAAUACUGACGCUCAUGCACGAAAGCGUGGGGAGCAAACAGGAUUAGAUACCCUGGUAGUCCACGCCCAUAAACGAUGUCAACUAGUUGUUGGGGAUUCAUUUCCUAGUAACGUAGCUAACGCGUGAAGUUGACCGCCUGGGGAGUACGGUCGCAAGAUUAAAACUU